UACGUAGGGUGCGAGCGUUGUCCGGAAUUAUUGGGCGUAAAGGGCUCGUAGGCGGUUUGUCGCGUCGGGAGUGAAAUCCACUGGCUUAACUGGUGGCUUGCUUUCGAUACGGGCAGACUGGAGGUAUGCAGGGGAGAACGGAAUUCCUGGUGUAGUGGUGAAAUGCGUAGAGAUCAGGAGGAACACCGGUGUCUUAGGCGGCCUCCUGUGCCAGCACUGACGCUGAGGCUUGAAAGCUCGUUGAGCGAACGGG
rnacentral:rRNA from 1 species